GACUCGUUUGGCUUUGGUGGUGGUGGUGGUGCCUCUCAGUCCAUCCCAUUCCCACAGUCAGUGAGCGAGCGAGCGACCGAUUCGGUUAUACGUUGAGUUGCGCGCGUCCAUAAUACUCACACUCGCACUCGUUUCGAAUGUGCAAACUAAUACAGGCCGAAUGACCUACCGACCCGGAAGAAGAAAUGGCUUGGAUUUCGAGAGCGGUGGUGAUCCUGCUGUGCUGUGCCAUCGUGGCCGCCCUUGGAGCCUCUGCCAGGAAGAGGCUGUCGCCGAAUGGUAGUAGUACUACUACGUACCACGCAACGCCAGGACGGACGACCGCAAACGGCACCAUCGGAAGGGUCGUCGUGGGCCCCCCGAAAACGCCGCCCUCGAAGCGCAAGAACGACACGACGGCGGAUGCGGCGGAAGUGAGCGAAUGUUCUCCCGAGGAGAACCUCUUCCUUCUGGAGCACCCGAUCCUCCUGGCGCCCGUGUCCUUCGUCGACAUGGGCAUCGCCACCACCGUCACGAUCCCAACGGGCGCGCUCGAUCCCUUAGAAGCCGCUGACGAGAGGAUAGCCAUUAUCGCGCCCUGUUUCGGCGUCUGCAUGAGGCAGACCUACGACGGACGGUGUGUCAGGGACGAACAAUGCCUCCAACUGACGAAUACUAUAUGAUAAGGCACCGCCCUAGACCUAUAUGGGGGGGGGGGAGCGCUCUAUAGGCCUAUACGGUGUGUUCAUUCGAUUUGCGAUGUUCAGAGAAUAGGGAACUGUAGCCCAAAGAUUGACAGACAGACGAAGUACUAGUCAGUAAUAAAAAAAAAAAGAACGAUAACAGACAAAUACAGAGACAAGAUACAGAGAAGCCAACGUUAAAUAGCAGAAAAUACAGAUAGACGAGAAAAAAAGACAGACAUCAUUAGGGGUCUGUUGUGACUGAUAAUGGGUAGCAGUAAGGCCCAAUGACAUGCAUAUUUAUACCAACCGCGCCCAUUUAUACCAACCACGCCCAUGACAAAAACAAAUAAAACGGAAAACAUGUUUCAAAUAUAGCUAGAACUUACUUUGUUCUACGAGGGGGAACAGGCUUAUUCGGACGUUGGCUGAUUCGGACCAUGUACUGGCUCAUUCGGACCUUUAUCCAGGCUUAUUCGGACCUUCAUAUGAUUGGCCGAUUUUUCUAUGCAGUUUAACCUCCUGAACAAGAAUUUUAAGUAAUAUUUAUCCGGACGAUAGUAAUUAACCCCCAGGGGCUUGUACUAAACACGCGAAAUACAUUUGACGCCCCAAUGCCUGGUGGCUUUCGUAUUCUCGGGGACGAACGAUGCGGAAUGCUUAUAUAGAAAUACCCAUUCCUAUAAUAUAUAAUACCAAUAAUUAGUAUGGGUCCGAAUCCGCCAAGAUUAAGGUCUGAAUCUGGUCCGAAUCAGCCAAGGUCCGAAUAAGCCAGGAUCCCUACGAGGCUUCCUGUAUAGACAGAGACACCUUGGACGGAGAUUCCAGAGACUUAUUCAGGAAGCUGUAGCUAUUACAGAUCCCUUCCUGUUAAAUAUCGUCCCGAGGACAGCAGAGGACUCGUACUUCCUCUCGCUGAGCGCCAUAAUUAAGGGUUACUACAGAUUGAUCCUUCUCUGAAUUAAGGGUUGUUCCAGCUGGAUCCUAGGUUAGAGAUAAUUGAUUGUUUGUUGUUCCUUCUGCGUUUCCAAACUCAAUAUGUUGUUUUCCUCUGUUGUGAAUGUUUUCCUGUGUGUUGUGAAUGUAAUGUCUUUAAUCAAAGCCGGGCCACUGGCGAAAAUUGCAUUCCAACGUUCGUUACAAUCCUGCUUUUUACGUUUCAUCAUUCAUAAAGCGCUGUGGUGUCUGUAAGGCUCAGCGGAUUGUCUCCUGUCUUUUACGAGGAAAAAGACGGAAGACAACCGCGUAGGAUCGAUCUCACGGCUCCGGCAGGUGAGGAGAGGGUGAUAAAUUGGUGUAUAUACUCAAGACGUUCACUUGGUUAGGGACAGGCAGCCGCCAGCCAUACCUAUCACUUUUCCUCUUCCUGGAGGUCGCGCGCGGUAAUGCGCCUGCGCACUACGCUAAAUCCUCCACACACUUUAGAGCUAUAUACACCAGCGCUGAAUAACCCCAUUAUACAAUCUGAUCAUAUGUAAAUUCUAGCAUUCAUGACAACUUCGCGAAUAUUCGAGUUUGUUCUGUGCGUCCGUGAGUGUGAACAGCGACAAAACAGGAUGGAAAUUGCGAAUUUCGACUUUUUUUUAGUUUUUUCUAAAAAAGUGAAAGUUGUUUGCGAGGCGGCCGACUGACUGACUCACUCACUCGGUUAUGCACACACUUAUAUCAGCCGAGUGCAUGCCCCAGUAUUCGAAGCGACCUUUAUUAUACCACCACCUGCUGAUAUGCGAAGAGUUAGCUGCCUUUCAUCUUAUAGGUUCAACAUUUUCUUUCAAUACGAGAAGUUCUCCCGACGCCUUGAACAUUUGCCAAGACGGAACAUGUUAUCCACGCAAACUCCGACCGAGAAAGUUACCUCCGCUAACUGUGAUAUAUAUUAUAUUUACUAAUAAAAACCGAUGAUAA